rfam:Ricinus communis cultivar Hale ctg_1100012287603, whole genome shotgun sequence.
GGGUGCGAUCAUACCAGCACUAAUGCAGCGGAUCCCAUCAGAACUCCGAAGUUAAACGUGCUUGGGCGAGAGUAGUACUAAGAUGGGUGACCUCUUGGGAAGUCCUCGUGUUGCACCCC